CUGACGCUGAGUCACGAAAGCGUAGGGAGCAAACAGGAUUAGAUACCCUGGUAGUCUACGCUGUAAACGAUGCACACUUGGUGUUAAUCGAAAGGUUAGUACCGAAGCUAACGUGUUAAGUGUGCCGCCUGGGGAGUAUGUUCGCAAGAAUGAAACUCAAAGGAAUUGACGGGGGCCCGCACAAGCGGUGGAGCAUGUGGUUUAAUUCGAUGAUACGCGAGGAACCUUACCAGGGCUUGACAUAUACAGGAUAUAGUUAGAGAUAACUAUUCCCCGUUUGGGGUCUGUAUACAGGUGCUGCAUGGUUGUCGUCAGCUCGUGCCGUGAGGUGUUGGGUUAAGUCCCGCAACGAGCGCAACCCUUGUUAUCUGUUACCAA
rnacentral:rRNA from 1 species